rnacentral:rRNA from 1 species
AUUGAACGCUGGCGGAUUGCUUUACACAUGCAAGUCGAGCGGCAGCGCGGGGGCAACCCUGGGCGGCGAGCGGCGAACGGGUGAGUAACACAUCGGAACGUACCCUAUCGUGGGGGAUAGCUCGGCGAAAGCCGGAUUAAUACCGCAUAAGACCUGAGGGUGAAAGCGGGGGAUCGCAAGACCUCGCGCGAUUGGAGCGGCCGAUGUCGGAUUAGCUAGUUGGUGAGGUAAAGGCUCACCAAGGCGACGAUCCGUAGCUGGUCUGAGAGGACGACCAGCCACACUGGAACUGAGACACGGUCCAGACUCCUACGGGAGGCAGCAGUGGGGAAUUUUGGACAAUGGGGGAAACCCUGAUCCAGCCAUUCCGCGUGAGUGAAGAAGGCCUUCGGGUUGUAAAGCUCUUUCGGCAGGAACGAAACGGUGGAGGCUAAUACCUUCCAUCAAUGACGGUACCUGAAGAAGAAGCACCGGCUAACUACGUGCCAGCAGCCGCGGUAAUACGUAGGGUGCGAGCGUUAAUCGGAAUUACUGGGCGUAAAGCGUGCGCAGGCGGCUUUGUAAGACAGGUGUGAAAUCCCCGGGCUUAACCUGGGAACUGCGCUUGUGACUGCAAGGCUUGAGUGCGGCAGAGGGGGGUGGAAUUCCACGUGUAGCAGUGAGAUGCGUAGAGAUGUGGAGGAACACCGAUGGCGAAGGCAGCCCCCUGGGUCGACACUGACGCUCAUGCACGAAAGCGUGGGUAGCAAACAGGAUUAGAUACCCUGGUAGUCCACGCCCUAAACGAUGCCAACUAGGUGUUGGGGAAGGAGACUUCCUUAGUACCGUAGCUAACGCGUGAAGUUGGCCGCCUGGGGAGUACGGUCGCAAGAUU